CCGCCUUACUUAAACCUGGGGCGGCAGGUAGCCAGCCUAGUGGUUAAGAGCAAUGGGAUCAGUAACUGAUUCAACUAGGUGAAAAAUCUGUCGCGCUGCCCUUGAGCAAACCCUAAUUGGUCCUGUAAGACAUUCUGGAUAAGAGCAUCUGCUAAAUGAUUUAAAUUUUAAAUGUAAUCAUUAUUUCAAACAGUUUCUGUUGGAGAGAUUUAAGGACACUGCAUUACUGGCCUUAGGCUCUGCAUGGUCAAUCUGACAUUGCAGUGGCUGUACAGAAGUUGAAGAGCGCAUACGUCUUGUGCUUAGGAGCGCUGUCCUAAACAUCCAAUAAUUUCGUCUGCACCGCUUCACUCGUAGUGAUUCAGGGCUAAUCUUGAUAGCCAUCCAGCUAAUUACAAACAACUAGCUAAAAGACAAGACCUUACCUCAUCUGAGAUGUGGCGUCAGUUUCCUGGUGCUUGACGUAAGAGCUCACCCAAGAGCGCAUGAAGUAGGAGGACUGCACCGUUUUCCCACCAGCAUCCCAUCGCAAAUCUAACCAUUGCUCCCCAGAAAAACUAGCCUACAUUUAGGCUGUUUAUAUGUGUAUUUCACAUGUUGAGGUAGAAAUAGGAGUAUAAUGCUUGUACGGAUGUCAACUCCAAUACAUGUUCAUGUCAUUAAUCAACUGCAUUACAGGUUGUUGUUUUUUAACUACAGUUAACUACCAACACCUAUUUCUGUAUGCUAGCUAUGCUACCAGUUUAUACGAAUGGGAGUUAGCAUUUGUAGUCACUUUUAAAUCUGGAAAAACUUCUAAAUGUUACGCAUCAAAAACAGCCAAGUAUAUCCAAAUCGGAUUUUGACAAAUAUCCACUGUUAACGUGGAUUUAACGUUUAUUUAACUCCAUUGAUUUCUUUAUCGCAUCUAUCCCCAUUGUCUUCCCGAUCUCUUUCCAGUAGUUCAAACAAAUUGUCGUCUUUGAAAUCCCUAAACAAGGUAUCAUAAAGAUCUUUUUUCUGGUAGCCUUUCCUCAAAAUAAUCAAUUUAAGGUAGUGAGUUUCUGUUUAUACGAGAGUUUGUUUGUUUAUAAAGCAUGUAUCACCA